AUUUUCCUAUUAGACACUCAUUUCUAAAUUUUACUAUUGCUGCUGUGACUGCUUCAUUCCUGUUUCGGAGUACCUGGGUGAAAGUAUAUGAGAACUCUUUGUACACUUCUUGCAAUUUUUCUGCAUGAAAUAAUGUCCAAAUAAAACGUCAGAGAAAAACUAUCCCUUUGGCAUUUAGUGAGGGGAAAGCAUCUUUUUCCGAACUGCUCCAGCCCCUGCCCAGCUAUCCGAUGCUCGUCCAUGAGUCUGGCCAUCGUCCAUCGGUCCAGCCCCCACUCACAGCUCACAGUCACUGCCCACUUAUUCUCUGACCACUCUGUGCCGUGGGGACCGGGGUUGCUCCGGUGCGGGGAGCUGCGGAGCCUGGGAGUGCUCUCCUGGACACUUGGCGGUGGCGAUCCGAGUGGUCCAGCAUCCACCGAGCUGAAGCCGGCCCUACCUCUCACCCGCCCCAGUGGCGUUGCCUGGUGUCGAUGAGGAUGCCUGAGCGCCGGGGGGAAAUGUUGGGAGCGGUGACCUCCCGCGGAGCCGCUAUCUCACCCAAGGCUUUUGAGAGGAUCGUUACCGACCUGGACACGACCGGGAUACGUCCAGCGGGACUGGCUGGAUGAAUGAUCACCUGUGGCAGGACGUUGUGGUACGCUGUAAAAUGGAUGCUGGAAAGACCUUUAUAAUAUAUUAAGAAAAAAUAGGGAAUUCCCUGGCUGUCCAGUUGUUAGGACUCGGUGUGUCACUGCCGCUGCCCAGGUUUGACUCUCCGGAGGGAAUUAAGAUCCCGGAAGUCAGAGGGAACGUGCAAGAAAAAAAAGAACUGAAUGACCGCAAUUUUCUGAAUAUAAAAAUAUUUAUUACAAACCUAUCUCUAGGUGAUGGAAUUAUUGGAGAUAUUUGUAAUAUUUCUUCUUAAUCAAUAUUUUCUUAUUUAUUUCAUGACCAUGAAUGACAUUGUUUUUAGCUUGAAAGAAAGACCAAUGCAAGUUAUUUUUAAAAAGAAAGUGUACUGU
ensembl:lncRNA